ensembl:lncRNA
UUCACAAUUAAGUAAUGUAAUGUCAAAUGUCACAAAUUUGCUACAAUUCUGUAAUUUUCAUUAAAAGACCAUUCCCAUUCCCAAGUGCUCUAUUUUAGGGUUACCUUAGUAGGAUACUAUCAAAAUCAGGAAGCUCCAUAAUGGCCCAUGUAUGUCUAACUGCACUCCUGAUGCCUCUGUUUUAUCUCACCCUAGUAAAAGCAACUUUGUCAGGACCUCUCAAGACACUUGAGACAUGUUUUCCAAAACCAAUUUUAAGUAAGUAUUAAUUCAAUGGAGCAUUCCUGGUGUGGCUCUUUCAGCUGUGCAGAAUGCCACAACAAUGAGGAAAUUGUUUGUUCCAGAGCAGGAGAUGCCAAUGCAAUGACAGACACUUUUUUAAGGCAUGUAGCUGGUGGCUGUUAAAUCUACAUUUCCUGACAUUCAUAAUGGCCCGUUAGCCACUGGACGUGAGCAGAGAGAGUUAGUUAAUACUUAGGCCUUCUUUUUCAUAGUGUGUUUAACAAUGCAGAGUGCUUUUAAAUAAUUAUUUCAUCUAAUCUUAACAAUAACCCUAUGAGAUCGGCAGGGACAUCUUGGCAAUGUAAGAACAUCCUAAACGUCAUUCUCACAAGACAAAGGCCUACUCUUCUUACUCUACAGCAUGAGUACUCCCUAGUAAGAAGAAAGCACACUUAAAUUAUAUUCUUUUCUUUCUUUCUUUCUUUCUUUCUUUCUUUCUUUCUUUCUUUCUUUUUUUUUUUUUUAGAGGUGCUGGGGAUCAAACUUGGGUCCUUAUAUAAUUUAAUUAUAUUAUUUUCAGUGAACAUUCAUUGAGCCAUCCUUUGGGCCAGGGUACUGUGAAAUGAUGGGGUGCCACCAAGGAACAAAACACAGUUGCUUCUCUCAAGGAAUUCCACCUGUCAGGGGAGAAACAAGAACGCCUCUAUCAUCUGAUGCUGAAAGUGCCAUACUGAUGUCUUCCAGGAAAGUGGAGUGGGGGAGAGAAGGAUUCAGAGAACUGGAGGGCUUGUGGUUGCUAUGGGUGAAGUGCUGUCCACUCAGAUGCUCAAUUACUCCUCUCACAUGGCUGCAUUUCUGGGAGCCUCCACUCAUCUCUGUGAGCCCUGGGUCCAUGUGAUAGUAUGGUCCCUGAAGAGCACAGCUUGAAAGAGGCUAGAACCUGAGAAGGUGUUAACCUCAAAAGGAGAUAAGAACAUGAGAGAACAUUAGCUGGCUACUUUCAUGGAACUUCAGGGAGGGAGUCUGGGAAUCGAUGCCUAAGGGCCUCUAUUUUUGUGGUGUGGUUGUUGAGUAGUGCGUAAAGUCGCCUUGUGUCUAUGAAUGUGGACUUUGUGGUCAGGGAAGCCUGGGUUCAAACCCUGGCUUUGAAACAUACUGUCAUUUAUUGCUCUGAGACCCUGAACAACUACUUCCACUCUUUAUACCUCAGUUUCCCCAUUUGUGAAUUGGGGAUAGUAAUAGUACCUACAACAACAAAACUGUUGAGAGACGUAAAUGAGAUACCUGUAAUGUACAAGGCAGAUGGUAAGCCACUUCAGAAGUGUUAGCUAUUAUUAUUGUUGUUGUUGUUAUUGUUUUAUACCAAGAGGGAAAAAUAUGAAUAGCACUGAAGACUUAAGAAGGAAGAAGAGGAAGAGGAAGAGGAAGAAGAAGAAGAAGAAGAAGAAGAAGAAGAAGAAGAAGAAGAAGAAGAAGAANNNNNNNNNNNNNNNNNNNNNNNNNNNNNNNNNNNNNNNNNNNNNNNNNNNNNNNNNNNNNGAAGGAAGAAAAAGUAGAGCCAUACUCAAAUGAAGAAAAAUGCAAGCUAGAGGUACAUUGAGAUGUCAUUUGUCACCUUUCAAAUUGGCAAAACCUAGAAAGUUGGCUAACACUGUCAUUGGAGAUAUAAGGAGGCUGGCGGGAGGGUGAAGUGGAACAACUUACCACCCUGGCAAGAACAUUGGCAAUAGCUAACAAUAUUGAUAUAAACAUACCCAUUGGCUCAGGUAGUCCACUUCUAGGAAUUUAUGCUACUGAUACCCAGGCAUACGUGCAAAAUGAUGUAUGAAAGGUUUAGCACUGUUUGAAUAUCAAAAUAUUGGAAGCCACCUAUCUGUCCAUGAGCAGGGAAAUAGUUAAACAAAUUGUGGAGUAUCUAUAUAAUGUAACCAAUAAAAUGAGAAAGUUCCUUCA